GAUGAACGCUGGCGGCAUGCUUAACACAUGCCAGUCGGACGGGAAGUGGUGUUUCCCGUGGCGGACGGGUGAGUAACGCGUAAGAACCUGCCCUUUGGAGGGGAACAACAACUGGAAACGGUUGCUAAUACCCCGUAGGCUGAGGAGCAAAAGGAGGAAUCCGCCCGAGGAGGGGCUUGCGUCUGAUUAGCUAGUUGGUGAGGUAAUAGCUUACCAAGGCGAUGAUCAGUAGGUGGUCCGAGAGGAUGAUCAGCCACACUGGGACUGAGACACUGCCCAGACUACUACGGGAGGCAGCAGUGGGGAAUUUGCCGCAAUGGGCGAAAGCCUGACGGAGCAAUGCCGCGGGGAGGUAGAAGGCCGACGGGUCGUGAACUUCUUUUCUCGGAGAAGAAACAAUGACGGUAUCUGAGGAAUAAGCAUCGGCUAACUCUGUG
rnacentral:rRNA from 1 species